rnacentral:rRNA from 1 species
UACGGGGGGGGUAAGCGUUGUUCGGAAUUACUGGGCGUAAAGGGCUCGUAGGCGGCCAACUAAGUCGGACGUGAAAUCCCUCAGCUUAACUGGGGAACUGCGUCUGAUACUGGAUGGCUUGGAUUUGGGAGAGGGAUGCGGAAUUCCAGGUGUAGCGGUGAAAUGCGUAGAUAUCUGGAGGAACACCGGUGGCGAAGGCGGCAUCCUGGACUGCAACUGACACUGUAAAACGAAAGCCAGGGGAGCAAACGGG